AAGCACUGUGUGGGAUGUUGUCUGCUCAGUGCUGUGGCUGAUUUUCAUGCCCUGUCUUGCCCCAAGACUUACUCACUGAUCCAUACAUUCCUUUACAGGAACGCACCUGGAUUUCUUCUCUUAUUUUCACACUUGCAUAGUUUUUCCUUUUGGAUGAUAAUGGCUCUUAUAAUUGCUAUGUGACAUACAAUCUGAGAGGCCUAUCCCAGUGUGAAAGUUAAUACACGUCACAUGCUCAGUCCAAAUCAAGAGUUGAAAAGAGAAGCCUUGCCAGCACAGAACAUCAGCACUUUUUAAUUAUGCUCUUUGUGGUAAAAGGUGGGCCAGUGAGAUGACCUACAGGAGGAAGUCAGCACUUUUUGAAUUUUGCAGGGGAACCAUACCGAGAAUCAUGUUUCCAGCACAAAGAAAAUUAAAAAAUAUGGGAGGUGCUUCCUGAGAAUUUAUUUUAGUUAUCAGGCAGCUUUAGGUUAUUUGAUCAACUACACCUGAAUCUUCUCUUGAAGUGGAAAUUUAAACAAAUAUUUUUGCCAGCAGAGAAGAAUGCCUCCAGUA
rnacentral:lncRNA from 1 species